AAGUAAAACUUAAUGUAAGAAUUAGCUCACAUUUUAUAACAUAGAAACUCAACUUUUGGUAAAAAAAAUAGAAAAAACUUUUUAUUGCCCAGUAUUGCCAACUUCAUUCAUUUUUAGGAGUAAAUUUGCCCAACCCGGAUUUUCCCAGGCGGGUUUACCCACCCUGGGCUGGUAGUCAACAACCCUGGAAAUUAGUAUCAUUCCGCAAUCAUGGCAAUGUUUUGGACGUGUUAAAAUUAUGAAUACAACAUAAGCAUUCCAGGAAAUGAGGGAAGCGUACCCUACAGUACUUUGAAAUUAAAUAGAGAAAAAAAAUUGCACCAGAGGCCACCAUUUCAUGUAUGAUUAUGACACAGUAUAAUUAUAUCAAUAACUUUCAGGGAGGAGACUCCACUCUUACCCCAAAUAUAGACAGAGGCCCCCCUCCCAUACCAGGUAUCUCCUCUUGAUGCUAUGCACCUCGCUGGUGACAAUCAAAUAUUUCUAGAUCCGGACCUCACAGGUUAAAUGCUGUACACCUAUUCUACUGUAUUCUUCAGGAGGUUUUAAGUAUUGCACCAUUUGGUAUAUAUAUAUUAUUAAUAAAGCACAUCAAACAUUUUUCUAUUCAUUUUAAAUUCUCAUUUAUUUACAGAUUUGCCAAGCAAGCAGCAGAUGGAGUAGAGCAGACCUCUUUUCUCGACUGCAGUGGCUUGGCAUUGGAUGCCCUAAUAAGAAGAUUGACUUGACUUUUUAAUGCGAUUCCGUGUAUCACACAACUUACAAGACAAUAUGUUUCAUUAUAUAUCUAUGAUCAUAUUUAGGAUACAUGUUAAUGACCAUUGUAAGAUUGUGUGUAACAUACAAGACUUGGGCCACUUGCAUCAAGGUCAAGUUCAGAUAUAGAAUUCAGCUGCAUACAGUCUACCACAUAGCUAAUAAACCCUAUGAAAGGAGCUGUCGGUAUUUCCAUGGUGCAGCUAUCACCAGUUUCAAAAUGGAAACAGAUGGUGAGUCUCAAGUGAAAAAGAAAAGUGGACCUCUCCUAACAACUUAAAAGGAGAACAUUAUCUUGCAUAGCAUUUUUCUCCGAAGGGAUUGAUUCAAACAAGCACAUUGUGACAAGUAUCCCACUGAAGGCAAGUUCUACAACAAGGAGACGGACUCCACUGGUGGUCAAUAUAUCGACAUUCAAAAAGGGCUUAAAUUUGUUUACCGAUCAAAACUAUGCCAUAAGACAUGAAUCACCCUCCAAUUAAAACAAAACAUAUGGAGAAGUCAGUCACUUUCAAAUCAAGUAACAAUUUAAGAUAUGAGACGAUUCUAAUGACGACAAUGAAUAUGGAGAAGUAUAAUGUACUUGAAAAUGUUUAAUGGAAAUAGAGGAAUGUGAAACUUCUUUGUAUUUAUUUGGUUCUCAUGAA
rnacentral:lncRNA from 1 species